rnacentral:rRNA from 1 species
UACGAAGGGGGCUAGCGUUGCUCGGAAUCACUGGGCGUAAAGGGUGCGUAGGCGGGUCUUUUAAGUCAGGGGUGAAAUCCUGGAGCUCAACUCCAGAACUGCCUUUGAUACUGGAGAGCUUGAGUCCGGGAGAGGUGAGUGGAACUCCGAGUGUAGAGGUGAAAUGCGCAGAUAUCAGGAAGAACACCAAUGGCGAAGGCAGCUCUCUGGGACGGUACUGACGCUGAGACGCGAAAGCGUGGGGAGCGAACAGG